rnacentral:lncRNA from 1 species
UAUUCCUUCAUCUAAAUCGAAAUCAUUCAAAUUCCUCUGGGUACUUCGUUUCAAAUGUGCUUGGCUACCGCCUAGUCUAGUCCUAAAUCAUGAAUGAGCAUGUCACUAGGAACAGUCUAAAAGGACACAGUCAACUAUCAUUGAUUCAUGUUCACCAUUUCCUUUUAAAACGUAUUUUGUUUUGAAAACCGGUUUUGAAAAACUUUAAGGAAAAUGCAAAAAGUGUAGAUAAUGCAAGACUCAUGAAAGAAAAGUGGUUAGAAAGGGAUGAAAUCCUCCCCCAGACUUAAAUCACACUGUCCUCGGUGUGAAACAAGUCGAGAUUGGAUGAGAAAAUGCAUAGAUAAUCGAAUUGGUAAGGCAAAAGAGAACUUACCUGGAUCCGGGAUGCUGGUGGAGAUGAACCGGAUUCAUUCGAAGAAGUUUGGUAAGGUGAUAGGUGGUGAUGAAGGUGGUGGGAAGUGAUGAAUGAGGUGGAGUGGGGAUUGGUGAGGUGGAAUGAGGUGAAGUGGGUGGUUUGGGGUCGGGUUUCGUCUCAACGACCAUUCACCGCGGUCAGAGGUCACGUGACCGCGGUGAAGUGGUGCUCGGCCGCGGUCGAAUAGGUGUUUCCCGCGGUUAGAACACCUGCAACCGAGGGAGCUUAUAUCGCGGCCUGUUCCUGCUUCUCCGUGGUUCCUGCUGGGCCGAGCAGUCAGGGACCAUCCUUCUUUUUGGUUUUUUCGGUUUUUUUUUAUUAUUUUUGUUGCCUUUUUUGUUUUAUAAGAAACACCUGAAACUAAGAAGAAGAAAAAGAUCAAAAGAAAAAGAAAGAAAGAUCCUAAAGAAAACAAUACCUAAAUGGGUUGCCUCCCAUUAACCGCUUCUGUUUUAAGUCGUUUAGCUCGACUUUUGGUGUUGGACGUGGCUUAGUCCAAUGAAGAAGACCUUGUCCUGAGACAAGUCUUUUUUUACAUCUCCUUGCUUUUCCUAGCAGGUUCUAUCACUCCAAAGCUCUUCUUCAAACUCUUCUAUUGCAGAAUGUUUUCCUGCUUUGCUAUUGUAUGGGACAGCUUCUGUGAAGACAUUUUUGUCGAUAUUAGCAAACGAAAUUCUCCGGUUUGGCCAGUCCAUUAUAUCUCCAAAAUUUGCUAGAAAAGACCAUCCGAGAAUAACUGGAUGUGUUGCGUCUCUCGUUUCAACAGGCACAAUGCAAUCUCCUAUUCUCAAAGGAAUUUCACGAGCUAUCCUUGUGGCGUUGCAUUGGAAUCAUCAGCUAGACUAAUUCUUGCUCUAGUCCUGCGCAGGUGUUUAAUACCAAGUCUCAAAGCCAUUGCCUUGGACAUCAUGUUAAGACAAGCUCCAUAAUCACAAAGCACGUUUUUAAACAUUUCUCCUCUAAUAGAACAAGCGAUGAGAAACUGACCUGUAGUCUUGACCUUAUGGAGAAUUCGAACUUUCCUUUCUCUGUAGGUAUUGGUGGGUGUUUCAAACACAGAAUAGGACUCACAAAAGAAGGCUGCAGCGUCGUAUUCAAUGAUUGAAUCGAUGUAUGGCAUCUUUAUCUUCCUGCACAUCGGGUCUUCUUGGAUUGAAGAGUCAGACGAAUCUUCAACACAUUCCUUUGCCAUCAUACAAGGUAAUGAUUCCUGCCAAUCCGUUUCUUCAUCUGAAACUUUGUUUUCUUCUUCCUGAGUUGCUUUUUUAGGUGCUGGAGGUUAGAGUUGGGACAGAAGAUGUAUUAUUUUCCUUUCAAAUCCCGGAGUGAAUCUGAACGACCAACUCCCGCGGUCAGAGGCGUCGCGACCGCGGGAAAAGGAGCCUUGGCCGCGGUGGGAACGGUCGGACCCGCGGCUCCGGAUAUGAUUUGCUCAUAGUCCGCUUCUUCCUUCUUGUACUUGAUAUGAACCUCUCCAGCUUUUUUAUUUGGUAGACCAGCACUAUAUGAACUCACACCAGGGUGUUGUUGUGCAUCUUCAUCAGGAUCUUUGGGAGAUUUCUUAGAAAAUCUCACAAUUUGCUCAAUGUUGGGCAUCUGUUCCAUUCUUGCAUCAAUCUCCCGUGCCUUGAGCUCGAGUUUGUUCAGCCUGUGCUCGAUCUCCUGCAGCUCUUCGUCUGUCUUCUCUCUAUACCAGGAGGCGGAUUCUCUGACUUCUUUGAUCUCUUGCUUCGAUUCGACAAUAUCACUUGAGUUCUGUAUGAUAUCAUAUCCUUGUCUUGUCUGCUCUGUUGCGACUUGGUGGAUCAUCCCAGCUAGUGUUUGUGCGUCCUUCUGGGUUUGUUCUUCCAGAACUCGAACAUGAUUGGCCAGAUCAUCGAAUUUUCUGUUGAACUCUUCAGAAAUUGAAUCAAUUCUCUUGAGCGGGUGUUUUCGGUGAGAAUCUGCUGAUCAAGGAAUUGGUUUAUCAUUCCUUCGAGGCGUCCCAAACGUCUGCUGAUCCUCAAGUUGUCCUCUUGCUAACUAGGGUUCUACGGUGGAGGAUUAUAAGCGUGUGGCUCGAAGUAGGUCGGAGGAGGACCAUAAGGAUCUUCCCGGCGUCGAACAGACUCUCUGCGCCGGUGGUAUGGAUGAUUUGGCUGGCUGUAUCGAUCCAUGUAGCUAAGAUCUCGGGCUUGGUGUUCUUCUCUGCGUCUGGUUGCUUGAGGAGUGUUGUAGAAACCUUCCUCAUAGUAGGGAUUUCGAUUUAUAGGAUCCAUAUCUUCUAAAAUGGAAACAAAAUAACCGGAAAAUGGAAAUAUACAGAAAAGGGGUUCUAGAGUCGAUUUACCAACCUUUCUUAGGGUUUUGCGGAAAAGAAAACACGUGCCUUUCCCGGCAACGGCGCCAAAAACUUGAUGUGUGUCGUGUGUGAGGGUGUCAAAUUUUACCCUAAAUGAAAUCAAUAGCCGCAAGUGCACAGCUGAUCGAUUGUAGAACUUAGGGAUCGAAUCCACAAGGAAGAAGGAUCUUUCCUGCAAAAGCCUUCGAAAGAAAUAUAAUGUAGGGAAGUCUAGAACCAGGCGAGUUUUGUGAGGGUUUUGGUGGUGUGUUUAGAACGUAAAAUCAAAUCUUAAAGAGAAAAUACGAGAAUUAAAAUGACCUAAUAACUAAACUUAACGAAAACGAGUAAAAACAAGAAAAACGGCUAAACCUAAUUGCUUUAAUAAAAAUCGAUUGAAAGAGUAAAUAAACUAGACUAAAGUUUGAAUGCAAAUCGGUGUAAAUCUAUAAGAAAGAAAGCGCUGGGAUUCAAGAAGUUUUCUCAGGGGUAUGAACGAUUCAAAACAUUGCUAGAAAGUAAAUUUGAUAAGAUCUUAGCUUAAACUUUUCGAACUGUGAUAACUAAGGUUUUCAAGGCCUUAAUAAGGGUUAUCAAUCCCUUAGCUGUUUCAGCAUAAAGGAUAUCAAUCCAUAAGUGUGGUUGCCAGACACUAGUUUAUGUGAUAAACUCUUAAGUCAAGUGAUCAAAGAUGAGUUUUGGUGUGAACAAAGUAACAAGAAAGCAUAAAACAAGGAACAAGAAAAGCAAUGAUUAAUGAACUAAACAAGGCAACAAAACAAGAUGAUGGUGCUUAAGCAAAUGAUGGAAGAUAAGCCUCUAGGUGUGAUCAUUGAUUAGGGUGCUUUCAUUGCAAACUAAUGAUGCUAAACAACAAUGCAACACUUGCUACUCUUUAGACUUGGCUUCUUAAUCAGAUUAAUCCACUCUCAUGACAGAAAUCUCUUUGCAAAUCACUUAAUCAAGUCUAACAACCAUUCGAGAUAACCAAGCAAUCAACAAGCAUAAUGUUCCAAGCCUAAUUAGUGACCAAACAAUCUUUGACAAAGAAAGACUGAAUCUUAUACAGAAAGACAUAGCAAGAAAUUACAUGAUCUCAAAACCAAUUAACUUAGAACUCUAAACUAGAUUAAUCCUCUCAUGAAGGCAUUAACCUCUACACUAAUCCAUUUUGAAACCAAAUUCUCAUUUGUGAAAUAUGAAUCAAUGAGCAUUAAGAAACAGUUCUAAUAUGUCAUUCAUGCAUUUAACAAACAUCAUCAUGGCAUUAAUGCAUAAACCCUUAGUUAGCUUUCAUUCAGGCAUUUCAUCAAACACUUUUGUUGCAUGAAAAACCCAAAUUCUAGACCCAAGUGAUGUGCAAGGAUAUAGCAUUAGGAUCAGCUAACUAAGGAAAAGAUAAGAGAAUCUAAGCUUAAACAAUCAUUAAUCUACAUCUAAGCACCCUAAUUUACACACCUAAAAGCUUAAAAGAGAGACUACUCACUAAUCAUGAUGAACACACCAUUUCCUUUGCAAGAGGUGAUGUUGAUCAUGAUUAGAAGUUAAGAUGAGAUGAUGCAAUGAUAAGAAAAAGCUUUUAUAUGAUUAAAUCUGCAAGAUGUCUCUUAAUCAAAAACGUUUUUACACUGAAAAGGAAAGAAAACAAGAGAGAAACUAAGAGAGAAGAUAACCUCUUGGGGUUUUCUCCCAAAAAACUAUUUAUACUAAGGGUCUUGGACCGGAUCAGCCCAGAACAAACUGGGUACUGACCCGGCUUCAGUUGGGUCUGGUGGCUGGUGUGCGAGAUGGUCACGUCCAUGGCUGACCCGCACACUCAUCUCACAACAAAAGAAGCUCAAGACUCCUAGAUGGUCAAGUCCUUUAUCAGCCGCACAUCCAUCUAGCACUUCAUCUUGCAUGUUCUUGUGCGGCUCAGUUCAGCUCCUUCCCCACUCGCAAGACCAGGUCGCACACUCCAGAAUGUAUAUGUGAAAGAUGUUCACUUCCUUGUCCAAGUCGCAUGCCCAAGUCGGUGUAAUUUGCGAACACAUGUGCUACAUGGUUCCACUUCAUGUCCAACUCGCAGGCCUAUCUCGCAGGCCUAUCAGCACAGCAUUGUGGACUUACUCAAAUUUGAUUCUGGAAGUCUCUACCUUGCUCAGAGUCUCCUUACACUCAUCUCUAAAGUCUCAACUUAAUUCCAGAGCGUUGAACAUUCAUGGGUGCGAGUUAAUCAAGUCGUGGUACCGUAUCGCACAACCUAAGCCUUCUCGGACCACUUUGCAUUCAGGGGAGAGUAACUUCCAGGAUAUUGAUCCAAAUGGCAUGAUUUCAACUGAAUUGGAAAGAAAACUCAAAUAUCUCGAACUUUGGUGAAGGAAACCUCAGUUCUUGGGAAGUGGAAGGUUCCGCGGAGGGCUCAUCUUUGCAGUACAUUGACACGGUUAGAAAGAGGCUUCUAGACAUGAGUCCAUUCCGGAAACGUUAUCUUCUUGAUCAUAGCUCUAAAUUGAAUGAUCUAAAACGUUAUGGAAAGAGGACUCAAAUAUCUGAAAUCUUCAUGACGGAUCGGUAGACUGAAUCGGUCUGGAAGCGCAUCUUCCUUCGCAAUAUUCGGAGCUCAUUGGGUCGGUCCUGAAACUGUCGCGAGACAGGUGUAUCUUCUGGUGAGCUUAACUCUCAUUUCACGACUCUAAAUCCAAUGAUUCGACCUGUUCUGGGACCGUGACUCGAUCUCCAACUUUUGUGAAGGGUUCGGGUUCAGGUGACGUCGGCAAGGGCUCCGUUCCACCGGUUCUUUGAUGCGUGUUGCUUUGGUCCUUUAUCCGCUCCGAGACAUGUACUGCUUCUUAUUGCCGUACCUUUCAGCUCAAAACUGCAAAUAGGACGAUCUAAAGUGUUCGGGAAACUAGACUCGAUGCUUUGGAUUCUUUACGAAGACUCCAAAGGCUGAAUCUUGAUGAAAGUCCUCCUUCUCAGGUGAUCAAGUUGAGGGAUCGUCGGCUCCAUAACACUUGUCCGAGUCUGAUGCACAUAAGGUGAUGGUUUGUCCAUGGCUUUUGUCCCAAUUGCUCCCAACUAGCUCCAAAUGACCUGUAAACACUCCAAAAGUGCAAAAAUCUCUAGGACCUAAUGCAAUUCCUAACUAAAGACAAAAGCAAAGACAAAUAUAUGUAAAACUACCUAAAUGUAUGCAUGAGACUCAAUAUUUAGACAAAAAUGCAGUCCUAAACAAGAACAAAUGAGAGAGAGAGGUUGAAUGAAUGGAAGUUCAUAUUUCCUUUGAGAGAAGUGACCACUAAGAGAAUUCAAGUUCAUGCUCAAUAUGCAAUGCAAAACCAUACUUUGGUGUAUCAACUCAACAGUAAUCUCCACAAGUUCUCCUAUUCCUCAACUCUUUAACAUUCAUUAAGCUUUUUACCAAGUGGAUCAAAUGAUGCAUUGUUUAAACAAACAAAGUUUGGCUAGGGUGAGGUUAUGAGACUAAAAUGAUCUCAUCAAUGCCUGAGUGGGUUCAAUGCAGCAAAAUGAUCUCUCUAUGAAUGACCAAACUUUGGCAGAAUGCUAAAGGUAAAAGGCAACCUAUGCAUACAAGGGCAAGGACUCAUCCCACCCCACACUCUACUCAAAGUUUCCUCACUUGCUUACUUUUCACACUCCUUCUUCUCUCACUAGGGGAUUCACUUUUCCUUUUCAUACACAAGUCUUGGAGUUCAAACUUUCCAUAGCUUUUUUCACUUUCUUUUGUAACCUCUAACCUCUUUUUCUUUCUUUUUAAAAUAUUUGAGCUCUUUGGCUUCUUUUCUUUUCUUUUCACUUAGAGGCUAGACUAUUUCUUUUCAAAACACUAGAGCUCACUUUCUUUGACUCAAAACUCCAAGACUGAUUUCUUUUCUUUUUUUAUCCCCUAGUUCUCACCAUUCUCCUUUUAUUUCCACUCAUCUCUCCUUUUUCCACUCACCAACAAGUAUUCCCCCACACUUAGUUCUUGCCAAAUCUCUCAGCUCCUUGAUGAUGGAACUUAGCACUCAAUGAGACUUGCCCUUGUCGCCCUAAACCUAACACUUUAUGCUAAGUUUGGUCCACGGUGGCCUCUCAAUCACACACAAACAAUUGGCUUGAAAGAAGGAUGGGUUCAGGGUGAGAAAAACUGAUCUAUUAUGCAGAUUCAGCUAUUUGAGCUAAGGAAGAGGAUGGUAAAAACAGGAUUUUAGCUCAAAUAUGUAUAUUGAUAUCCACAAGCUUAUUCAAACAAUGCACCAAAUGAUAAUUUCAAGUCAAGUUCAGGGUUUUCACUUAUUAGAGUUGAGUUCAAUUCAAACUUGCUUCUCAGAUUCAAAUCAUUUCAAGCCUUGCAAGCACAGAAAUCAUUUCACAAGCAUAUUUGGUCCAAAUUCUCUAAGUGAUGUACUCUUAAGAAAAAACUAUCAUUACUCCCAGCAAGAUGCAACCUAUAUGAUGCAAGCUAGACUCAAUCCUAAAAUGUGAAUGCAGCUACAUGAACAUUUUUUUUUUGUGUUAGAAUUUUCAAAUAUUUCAAUUUUUUUUUUUUUUAUAUGCACUAAAUGCUAUGCAUGAUCAAAUGAGACUCAAAAAUGCAAAAGAGAAAAUAAGAACAUAGAAAACAUGAUUAGUAAACACAAAGCCUCUCCCCCACACUUAAAUAACACAGUCCCUUGUGUUAUAAAAGCAUGAGAAAGGGGAAAAAUCAAACAUGAAUUGCAAAAGAAAAAGAAAAAUGCUAAAUGCUCAUUUACAAGUGUUUGGAGUGAUACCUGGUGUGGUUCUUAUGCAAAAGGGGAGUGAGUAUCUGCACCAGAUGAGGCCAUACAUCACUGGAGAUGGGUUUGGCUUGGCCUGAACUCCCUUGUGCGACAUGGACUUGUCUUGGACCAAGUCGCACACCCAAGUCGCACAUAAAGCUUGGUGAAUGCAGUUGUGCGACAUGGGCUGCUCUCCUUCAUAUCUCGUACACCCAAGUCGCACAUCAAGCUUCGUGAAAGUUCUGGCCUUCUUUGUUGCUGCUACAUGGCCCUAGAAGACACCAACCCGCACACCCACGUAGGUGUGAUUUGCGAACAGGUGUGCUACUUGGAUCAGGGGAGAACUGACUCGCACACCCAUGUAAGUGUGAUUUGCGAACAGGUGUGCUAGAUGGGACCUGACCUUGUCCAACUCGCACACCCAAGUAGCACACGUGGCGGCUCACCAGUUUUCAUUCCUUAAGUCCUUCAUCAGCUUGUUCUCAGACUCCUUUUCACUUUGUCAUUGGACCACAGCAUCCCUAAGUUACCUUAGACCUGAAAACACUUCACAAAACCCAUCAAAAUAUCCUAAAACAUGAAAAAGAAGAGAAAAAAUUUAAAAAAGUUAUGUACAAGGAUAAGCUUGGGGUGUCUCCCAAGAGCACUUUAUUUAAAGUCACUAAGUUUGACUUUGAAAAACCUGUCUUUAGCUGGGGUGAGGUUGAGCACUGAUGCUCUUCAGCAUUUCAAUGGUCCUGAGCAGGAAAGAUGAGGAUGGCUGCCUUUGAUAACCAUUAGACCCUUGUCCUUGAUGUCCCAUCUUUAGGCCUUUGUUCACCAGCUCCUGAAUACCAUCUGGUCCUUAUCAAGUAUUGCCUUUGUGAGACCUGCCCUUACCUUAGCAAACAGUCCUGCUUUCCCAUUGCAAUCCAGCUUAUACUUCAGAGAUCCAUUAUCGUCAGCCCAAGGAGUCAGAGUAAAAUCUUGAGAAGAAGGGUCAGGUUCAAUGCUCUUAUCUUUUGAUGCUGAGCCAUCACUCAUGGUGUUCAUCAUCUUUUGAUCAACAAGUGUAGGAGACCAUGAGAGCAAGAUGUCUUCUUCUCUGAUCAAUGGCCCUCCAUUCUCAUACUUGUAACCAUUGGGGUGAGGGUCUCUCUCCUUCUCCAAAGCUGAAAGAGAUUGAGAUCCACCUAGAAUUCCAGCAGUGCCCACAUACUUCAUCUCAAGUACCUUAGGGGGUUCUAUUUCUUGAACAACUGAUCCACAAAAUUCAGCCAAACGAGGUGUAACAAGGUAAAAGACAUCCUUAUCCACCUUUGAAAGCACCACUCUUUGAGUAUCAAAGUCAAUCAUUGCACCAGUGGUGUUGAGAAAUGAAGUUCCAAGCAAUAUGGGGAGCUCUUUGGUCUUCUUCAUCUUCAUGAUCACAAAAUAAGUGGGAAUUAUGCAUUCACCAACCUGUAGUGGAUAGUUUUCCCAAAACCCAUAUGGUUUCUUGGAGUAGGAAUCUCCAAAGGUGAUAGAAGAAGCAUAGGAUGUUAUAGACUUGACCUUUAGCUUCUCCAUCAUGUCCUUAGACAUUAUACUAACACUUGAGCCUGAAUCACACAAAGCAUUCUCGACCCUAUAUAAAGUUUCCAAGAGUGCAUUGAAUUUCCCUGGAUUGCCUAGCUUUGGGAGGGAGGUGGGUUUCAUCUGAGUUGAUUCAGAGGUGGAGGCACUAUCUGUUGGCUUUGCUUGACCAGUUGGCAGCUCCUUUGUUUCAAUAGACACUGAAUCAUUCCCUUGCUGAACAGAAAAAACUAAACCGGCUGCCCCCACACUUUCAUUCUUAAUGUCCUCAUUGAGUUCAUGUAAGAAGCCCAUGAAAUCCUCUAUAAUGGCAUUCUCAUCCACAUGAGUUUGUGCAGGUUCACUAGAGACUUAGACCAUAGAGAAGGUCUUCUAUUUCUUGCACAGCAGCUGAAUGGUCAUCAUUGCAGUAGAUGGCAUUGCAGUAAUCUUUUGAGUUUUGAAGAGCUUUACCAGGAAGAGAGACUUGUGGUUCAGAAGUGCAGAUGCCCUUGUUCUUUUUAAUAGCCGUUAUUUCAGCUCCUAGUGUCUCCAGGUCGGAUACCAUCUUUUGUUGUCCUAUUAAGAGCUGUUGGAGAACAACAUUGAAAUCAGGACUUUGUUGAACAGGUGGUGGGGCAAAACCAGGAGGUGGUGGCCUUUGUUUCUGGAAGCUGAGUUGGUUAUUGAAGCUGUUCCCUUGUGGCUUAGCUGUUGGCUGCUGAAAAGCUUGUUGACCUUGGAAGUUACCUUGGAACUGAUUCUUUUGAGCAAAGCUUUGUUGACCUUGUUGGGGAGGGUAUACUUGAUCUUGGGGAUUGGCUACAUUGGUGCUUCUAUAAGACAAGUUCUGGUUCUUGUUGAAGUUGUUGUAACCCUGAAACUUGUUCUGAUUACCUAUGUAGUUCAGCUCCUCUUUUGUAAGGCCCACUUCAUUGAUGUUCUCAAAGCAACUCCUCUCUUGAGACUCACCUACAUAGUGUAUAGGCUUUUGAGUGGCAACCAGGGCUUUGUCAAGCUUGAUAUGCAGCUCUUUGAUCUUCUCUUCCAACCUUUGUUGGGUACUAGAGUCCUCACAUCUGUUGGCUCUAUCAAAGUCUUCUCCAUAGGUGUCUUGGCUCAUGGCUAAGUUCUCAACAACUUCCAUGGCUGCAGUGAUUUCUUUUGCCAAGAAAUUCCCAUUUGAUGCUGUGUCCAACUGAUUCCGGAUCUUGGGAACAGCUCCUCUAUACAAAGUGCUAAGGAGAGAGGCUUCUGAAACCCCAUGAUGUGGACACUGAUUUGUAUAGCUUCUAAACCUGUCCCCAGCUUCUCCAAAGGUCUCAUUAGAAUGCUGUGUGAAGUUUGAAAUCUGGUUCCUUAGCUUGGCAGUCCUUGAGCUUGAGAAGAACUUAGAUAAAAAGGCAAGCUUGCAUUGCUCCCAAGUUUGGAUUGAUCCUCUUGGAAGGUUCUUCUCCCACUGGUGUGCCUUAUCCCCAAGGCUGAAUGGAAACAAUCUCAGUUUGAACCUGUCUUCAGAUACCCCAUUGAUCUUCGUGAGAUCACAAACUCUGUCAAACUGAUCUAGGUGCUCCAAGGGAUCCUCCAUAGGUAAGCCAUGGAACUUCUGAUUCUGCACCAUACUGAUCAAAGAAUCUUUGACUUCAAAGUUGUUGUUCUGCACAAGAGGUGGCCGGAUUCCUGCUCGGUCAUUCUCACCAACAAAGACUGGUGGUGGCUGAUGACGUUUGGGUGGGUUUGGGUGGGGCUGUGGUGGAUUAACCUGAGGUUGGUCUUGGUGCUGGGUACCCUGAGCUUGUCCCUGAUGGACCGGAGCUUGUUGAACCUGAAUUCCAAUCCCAUUACCAGCUCUUUGACCGUGAUCAGCUUCUUGAGCCUGAUGCUCAUUCCCAACUUGCUGAUCCAUUCCUAACCUUUCCAAGUGAACAACUCUUUCUCUUUGUCUUCUUGCUUGGCUUCUUGUGAUCAUAAACCUGAAAACAAAGACAGAACUUGAAAGGUGAUCAGUAAAACAAAAGAAACUUGAUCUCAAAAACUAUAUCAGAAACUAAUGCUAACAAUGCCCACACAAUAUGGCAACGGCGCCAAUUGAUAACUAAGGUUUUCAAGGCCUUAAUAAGGGUUAUCAAUCCCUUAGCUGUUGCAGCAUAAAGGGUAUAAAUCCAUAAGUGUGGUUGCCAGACACUAGUUUAUGUAAUAAUUUCUUAAGUCAAGUGAUCAAAGAUGAGUUUUGGUGUGAAAAAAGUAACAAGAAAGCAUAAAACAAGGAACAAGAAAAGCAAUGAUUAAUGAACUAAACAAGGCAACAAAACAAGAUGAUGGUGCUUAAGCAAAUGAUGGAAGAUAAGCCUCUAGGUGUGAUCAUUGAUUAGGGUGCUUUCAUUCCAAACUAAUGAUGCUAAACAACAAUGCAACACUUGCUACUCUUUAGUCUAGUCUUCUUAAUCAGAUUAAUCCACUCUCAUGACAGAAAUCUCUUUGAAAAUCACUUAAUCAAGUCUAACAACCAUUAGAGAUAACCAAGCAAUCAACAAGCAUAAUGUUCCAAGCCUAAUUAGUGACCAAACAAUCUUUGACAAAGAAAGACUGAAUCUUAUACAGAAAGACAUAGCAAGCAAUUACAUGAUCUCAAAACCAAUUAACUUAGAACUCUAAACUAGAUUAAUCCUCUCAUGAAGGCAUUAACCUCUACACUAAUCCAUUUUGAAACCAAAUUCUCAUUUGUGAAAUAUGAAUCAAUGAGCAUUAAGAAACAGUUCUAAUAUGUCAUUCAUGCAUUUAACAAACAUCAUCAUGGCAUUAAUGCAUAAACCCUUAGUUAGCUUUCAUUCAGGCAUUUCAUCAAACACUUUUGUUGCAUGAAAAACCCAAAUUCUAGACCCAAGUGAUGUGCAAGGAUCUAGCAUUAGGAUCAGCUAACUAAGGAAAGGAGAAGAGAAUCUAAGCUUAAAUAUUCAUUAAUCUACAUCUAAGCACCCUAAUCUACACACCUAGAAGCUUAAAAGAGAGACUACUCACUAAUCAUGAUGAACACACCAUUUCCUUUGCAAGAGGUGAUGUUGAUCAUGAUUAGAAGUUAAGAUGAGAUGAUGCAAUGAUAAGAAAAAGCUUUUAGAUGAUUAAAUCUGCAAGAUGUCUCUUUAUCAAAAACGUUUUUACACUGAAAAGGAAAGAAAACAAGAGAGAAACUAAGAGAGAAGAUAACCUCUAGGGUUUUUCUCCCAAAAAACUAUUUAUAUUAAGGGUCUUGGACCGGGUCAGCCCAGGACAAACUUGGUACUGACCCGGCUCAGUUGGGUCUGGUGGCUGGUGUGCGAGAUGGUCACGUCCAUGGCUGACCCGCACACCCAUCUCGCACCAAAAGAAGUUCAAGACUCCUAGAUGGUCAAGUCCUUUCUCAGCCGCACAUCCAUCUAGCACUUCAUCUUGCAUGUUCUUGUGCGUGCUCAGUUCAGCUCCUUCCCCACUCGCAAGACCAGGUCGCACACUCCAGAAUGUAUAUGUGCGAGAUGGUCACUUCCUUGUCCAAGUCGCAUGCCCAAGUCGGUGUAAUUUGCGAACACAUGUGCUACAUGGUUCCACUUCAUGUCCAACUCGCAGGCUUAUCUCGCACAGCAUUGUGGACUUACUCAAAUUUGAUUCUGGAAGUCUUUACCUUGCUCAGAGUCUCCUUACACUCAUCUCUAAAGUCUCAACUUGUUUCCAGAGCGUUGAACAUUCAUGGGUGCGAGUUAAUCAACUCGCAGUACCGUAUCGCACAACCUAAGCCUUCUUGGACCACUUUACAUUCAGGGGAGAGUAACUUCCAGGAUAUGGAUCCAAAUGGCAUGAUUUCAACUGAAUUGGAAAGAAAACUCAAAUAUCUCAAACUUUGGAGAAGGAAACCUCAGCGCUUGGGAAGUGUAAGGUUCCCCGGAGGGCUCAUCUUUGCAGUACAUUGACACGGUCAGAAAGACGCUUCUAGACAUGAGUCCAUUCCGGAAACGUGGCUCCAAAUUGAAUGAUCUAAAACGUUAUGCAAAGACUCAAAUAUCUCAAAUUGAUGACGGACCUGUAGACUGAAUCGGUCUGGAAGCGCAUCUUCCUUCGCAAUCUUCGGAGCUCAUUGGGUCGGUCCUGAAACUGUCGCGAGACAUGUGUAUCUUCUGGUGAGCUUAACUCUCAUUUCACGACUCUAAAUCCAAUGAUUCGACCUGUUCUGGGACCGUGACUCGAUCAUCUCCAACUUUGGUGAGGGUUCGGGUUCAGGUGACGUCAGCAAGGGCUCCGUUCCACCGGUUCUUUGAUGCGCGUUGCCUUGGUCCUUUAUCCGCUCCGAGACAUGUACUGCUUCUUAUCGCCGUAACUUAUAGCUCAAAACUGCAAAUAGGACGAUCUAAAGUGUUAUGGAAACUAGACUUAACGCUGUGGAUUCUUUACAAAGACUCCGAAGGCUGAAUCUUGGUGAAAGUCCUCCUUCUCAGGUGAUCAAGUUUAGGGAUUGUCGGCUCCAUAACACUUGUCCGAGUCUGAUGCACAUAAGGUGAUGGUCUCUCCAUGGCUUUUGUCGCAAUUGCUCCCAAUUAGCUCCAAAUGACCUGUAAACACUCCAAAAGUGCAAAACUCUCUAGGACCUAAUGAAAUUCCUAACUAAAGACAAAAGCAAAGACAAAUAUAUGUAAAACUACCUAAAUGUAUGCAUGAGACUCAAUAUUUGGACAAAAAUGCAAUCCUAAACAUGAAAAAAUAUGUGUAUAUCAAACUGGAGUCACGGACGUAUGAAUACGCCACUGUCGUGAUCAUAGACAACUAUCUCUCUCAACCCUGACCAGUGGGUUUCCACUUUGGCCCUGGAAAAGAAGAGUUGCAUUAUGUUUAAGACUCAUCAGCAUUCACAAAUCGCCCAUAGGUAGGUUUCCACUCCUAUGUUUGUUUUGCUCUCCCAAACUAGAUCUGACACCGGAUGAACACUUUCGUGUCACCUAGAAUCUAGAUCAGAUUGUACUUCAUGACACUACUCUGACGCAUUAAAAGUAGAUUCAGAAGAAAAAGUUCUAAGAUUCGGCUUCAAUAGCUCAUGGAAUCCUCAUCGAACAUAUAUAUCCUCAUCGAAAAUCUCUUAGACUCAACAAUAAAACUACUCAGACAUGAUAAACGAAAUCAAAAACAUAGUAUUAAAACGUAGUACAGAAAUCGAAAUUGAAAAAGAAAGAACAAGGGUUCAAGAGAUGGAUCUCUCUCUCCCUAAAAGCUAAAGUAAAAACAAUAAGCAAAUAAGCUGCUGUAAAAGGUGACGAUGAUUAGGGUUCCUAAAACAUGUAUUUAUAGUGCUUAAGACAUCUCUGGGUGUCACUUAGGGUUUCUCCAAAUGAGUAAAUCAUUUUGGGCUUCAGAAAUGGGCUUUCGGGUUCGGAGUUAGCUGGCCGCGGUCGGGGAGCUUGUGACCGCGGGGAAUGGCCUGUUGGCCGCGGGUGGAAACGCUUGCCAGCUGGUUUACUGGACAUCUUGCUCUUCGAGUAUCUUUGGAUUGAACCGUUGGAUUGCCAAGCUGUAAAGUGUGCUGGAAAGCUGAUACUUCCAUCUUUAAGAUCUCCAAAUUUGAGCUGGAUCAGAACGUGAGAAGGCCUUCAAUCGGGGGUGAACUUCUGACAGUUUGACUCUGAGCUGAAAUCUGGUCUUCUAUCCAUUUUGUUAAGCUUUUCCCUAAGUUUCCUGAAAAGAGUCUUGGAACUACAAAUACUAGAAAAACGUAAUAAAAGUACUUGAAAGCAAUUAAAAACAUAUAAAAAGUAUUUCAAAACGAUCCAUAAAAGUGGUCAAAAUACGGUGUUAUCAGCUUUCUUUCUUGUCACACGAAAGCACUUCUUUCAAUCAUGAAAGAGAUCAAAAACUUGCUCAAAUAUCAUUUUAGGUGUGGUACUACAAGACCAACUAUGUAUGAGCAUUUUGUAUGUAAAAGCAUACAAGGAUCUUUGAGACAAUAUUUAUUUCUCUAGUUUACAAUUUUGAGAACCUCAAGACAAACUUGUCAUUCUAAAGUUUCUUCUUCCAAAUUUCGACUUCCAAUAACUCUUCAAGAGUUUUGACUAUGUCCAAACCAAAGAUUCCAUUGAUCCAUAAUCUUUUGAUACAUACACGUGGUUAUAUUGAUUAUCGUAUAAUAUCUACUGUAAGAGUAUACCUUGUGAAGCAUAUUUGCUUUAAUUCAAUCCAAUAGCCAGUGUUCUUGAGAACAUCAUUUUGAAAUCAUUAAUCAUUCUAAUUGCUUCUAGCAAUUUGAUUUCAUUUUAGAACUAAAUCAAGUCUUUCUUUCAUUCUUAGACUGAUAAAGGAUCUGUAAAAUGGUUGCAUCCACCACAAGAAAAUAUAUAUUUUCAUGUAUCACUUUCAGUCAUCUUUCGUAUAAAGAUCCACUUAUAUCUCACAAGUUUUACACUUUCAAGUGUACGGACUACUGGUCCAAAUCUUUCUCUACAAGAAAUUUAACUUUUUCCCAAACGGCAUUUACCAUGAUUGGCCAAUCAUCGCUUUACGCGUUUUUCAAUACAUCUUUUGUACCGCGGUUUAUGAUCUUCAUUUCACAUCAUCAACUGCUUUAUUACAUGCAAAAUAUUAUUGACGUUGAUUUGCUUUUGAUUCCAUUCAUGACUCAAUUAGUUGAAAUCUCUUAUCAUUACUAAGUACCUAGAUUUCUUUAUUUCUCAUGUCUAUAUCUAUUCUAGAGAAUCCUUCCUCGACUUUGCCAUUUUAUAUUAUGCUCAUUUUUCUUUUCGAAGAUUCUUAUCUUUGGAAUCAGUAGGUCUAUCAUGCUUCAUGCGAUCUUUAGCCCUUAUAGCAGUUGAUAUUAUCCCCCUGAGACAUCAAUAUUAAUUGGAGCACAGCUGGUAUAACUUAAUCAGGGUCAGGUAAUGCUUUUAACAUCAAAUUUGCUUAACUUUGCAAAUAAAUUAUCUUUCAACUUUUUUAGUGCACAUUCUUUCUGAGGAUCAAGAUAAUUUCUUUCACUGAUUUUCCAGCUGUUUAUUUUCUCCCCCUUCCUUAGUCGUUGGAAAGACUGAGUCACUAAAAUUACAGUCUGUUAUUCUAAUCUUAUCCCUUAUUUGAUGGCUUAAUACAUUUAAUCAUCAAGGGAAAUUCAUAUCCAACAUAUAUUCCUCUUUUGAGGUCCCAUCUUAGAUCAAUGUGGUAGAGCAACAUUAUCCAAAACUUUUAGAUGGGAAACAUCUGGUUUCUGACCAAAACCAACCAUAAGGAGAACUCAAAAUUAUUCGUUCGCUUAAUGCGAAUCAAUGUGGUUUCACUCUUAAUCAAUUAACGAAAUAGUUUCACAAAGAUACAUAGUGGGUGAUCAAUCCAAAAUAUCUCUUUGUGUAUGUACCAGAAAAUUAACAUAUCCAAAUUUAUUGGAGAGUGAAAAUUAAACACAUUAGAAUUUUCUGGAUCCUUUUUGCAUUGUUAUUUAACUGGAAUGACUUAACCAGUUUUGCCAAAACAGUGAGAUUUUCAGUAAAUUUCUUGUUUACUAGACUCAUUUAUAUCUCACAUACUAGUGUAGUACAAUUCAAUAGAGAAAACAAGUAGUUUUUCUAAAUUGAUUUUACUGCCUUGGAUAAUACUCAUGAUGUGAAGAUGUUAACAUUUUCUUCAGUCAUUGUCUCAAUUUGGAUAUUUUUUACACAUGAUUUAUCGAACAUGAGUGUGAACAUGAUCUUCUGGAUGUUCCACUUUCUAUGAAUUGUGGGAUUCUGCAAUUAAGGUUAUAACGUGCUGAUAACAUAUUGUAAAUCAGUUAUCGAGAGAGAGAGCAAAUUGGUGUUUCUUAUUCCAGAGAUAAUGAGGGGUAUAUAUAGUAUUACAAAGACCCAACUAUUACUCUAAGUUUCUGAUGUGGGACAGAUACAAUAUUAGUAAUGGACCUUAUAAUGGGCAUCCAUAUACUAAUAUUCAUAACAAUAUAUAUAUAUAUAUAUAUAUAUUGAAAUAAAUAUAUAUUCAAAAUUUCACAAUAUUUUCUUUUAUUAUAAUUUAUUAUAUUUUAUUAUAAUAUAUAUCCAAACAAAAGUUGAAUUUUUUUUUUUAAUUUAUAAAUAGUUAGAUACGAGAAAAUUAAAUUUUUGUAAGAGUUUGUGGACUAGGCAUAAAAACUAAAAUCAUUAAACGAUACAAAUUAAAGUUAAGUGUUCAGAAAUAUAUAUUUUUCUGGGUCAGUCAGAACAAAAAUUUGAUUCAGUUCUAAAUAGAUUACGUAAACGGAUUAGUUUGGUUUGACAUCUCUAUCUAUAAUCAAUAGCUAGUUACAUAAUAAAAUUAGAGUAAAAAAAAGUUUUUUUAAAACUUUAAACAUUUUUUCUUUAAAAAAUCUCACAAGCUAGCUAUAGCGCAGUAUAAAUCCUACUCUAUAUAGUAGAAACUUUAUAAAUUAAUAUUUGAUAAAUUAAUAAACUCUAUUAAUUAAUAAAUUUCUUUAGUCCUAAAUUAAUAUUUUGAACUAAUUAAUCUCUUUAUAAAUUAAUAACUCUCUAAAAUUAAUAAUAUAUAAGAGUUCCACUGUUAUUAAGUUAUUACUGUACUAUUAUUUAAGGAUUCAUUUACAUAAAUGAACAUUUAUUUGUAAGAAAGUACAUAAUCAUUUACAGUAAAAACUCUAUAAAUUACUAACAUUGGGAUUUUUAUAUUAUAUAAAUUUAGAGAGUUAUUAAUUUAUAAAGAAAUUAAUUAGCUCUAAAUAUUAAUUUGAGACUAAAGAAAUUUAUUAAUUAAUUGAGUUUAUUAAUUUAGUGAAUAUUAAUUUAUAGAGUUUUUUCUGUACAUAAAUGAGCCUUUAUUUGUAAUAUUAAUUAUUUACAUAAAUGAACUUUUAUUUGUAAAAUAUUACAUAAAUAAACUUUGUAAAUAUAGAAAAUUUUAAUUAAAUAUAAAGAUAGUUAGUGGAUAGUUAAUGAAUAAAUAAAUUUAAAACCUUAGAAAACUCAAUUAAAUAUUUGUAUCAAAAAAUUAUGGAGCUUAGUAAAAUUAGUAUAUGUAACACUACUCUAUUUGUAUGUAUAGUGGGCCUUAAAAAAAUUAGCACAUUACACCUUAAAAAUCGUGUGUAUCUUAUUAAAUAUGUCAAUAAAUAUGUUAAUGCCUAUUAUUGGAAAUAAGAUUACAAAAAUUAUUACAAAGGAUCUUGAAGGACCAGAUCAAGCUUCAGCUUCCGGGUUGGUCUGAUCGUCCUUCGGAGACGUCACUACAUUCUUUCUUUCCACAAUCAAUGCGUCGGUAGCUAUUGACGCAAACCUUUCACCUUUUUCUCCUCGGCAUCGAGGGUCGUAGGCUCGUCAACCUUGCACAUCGAGGGUCGUAGGCUCGUCAACCUUGGCAUACUUAGCCUCAAGUAGCUCUUCGAUCUUCUUCUCCACGGACUUGACUUUCUCUUGAAGCUUGACGAUCGCCUCGUCUUUUGCUGCCUUAUGCGCCCUUUUUACCGCAACAUCAAACAUCGCCUCCUUUUCAGCAAGGUGUUUGACCUUUUGCUCCUCGAGCGUGACCGGGAGAUUGAAAGUUCGGUCCAGCUCAGUCUUAAGCAGCUUCUUCUGUCCCUCGACGGCCUUCACCCGAGCCUCGGCCCUGUCGAUCUCCUCCAAAUGCCUCCUUGUCAUCUCGUCUACACGACGUUUCUCUUUGUGCGCCUCAGAUCUAUAGUCAGCUACGAGAUUGGUGAUGGAUGCUAGAAACUGAAAUAUAAAAAGAUCAUGAGUACAAAAAAAAAACCGAACUGAUACUUGAAGAUAUCUUCUCCAUUCUUACCUUUUUACAGCGCAGCGACAUGUUUAAAAAAGAAUUUGACUGUGUCAAGACCCCUAGAGGAGGAAAACGAGUAUUCGAGCUCGCCACAGAUGAAACAAGAAGAGCUGCAGCAUUUGCGUCAUCGACGACCGAAGUAACAGUAGGCGGUGUGGAAGGAGCCUCAGUCCGCCACUUUUUAGUCGUUUCCUUGGCAGGGCCCUUUUCUUUGUAUCCAGCAGCGGCACAACGUUUUUGGCUCGCCGAAUCCUUGUGUUUCGCCAAGGACGAAUCAGAGGGCGUCGCCUCAUGUGGCAGUGCCAAGAUCAGCCUCUCCAAACAGGAAUCAUUGGGAGGAUUCUCAUUCAAAUUUUUGACUACCUCGGGGGCAUUUUCCCCCAGGAGCGACUCGGACAUGGUUGUUCCUAAACCCGGUUGUGUCUCAGACAGCGCGAAUUCGCCAUGGCUCUUUCACUGGCAGUCACCUUGGGAGAAUGAACUAGAGUACGGCUCGUCUUGAGGUGAGAGGCAAGAGGUUCGGCAUCACGCUUUGAGGCUUCUUGAGCUUCUAACUAUUUCUUUCUAAGAAGCGAGAGUUUCAUUAUCUUUCCGUACGUAGAUUACGAAGAACGUGUAUCCAAACCGAUGAAAAAACUAAAAAGUGCAGCUCGGGCUCUUUCAAUUUGGCGAAGCAAGAAAUGCCUUGUCCAAUGUGUUCUUCUCGCAGCUAAUUCUUAGACCACUUCUAAGAAACCGUCUGGGAUUGGCGGGAAUAUAUGCCUAACUGCAAAAGGAAAACAAGAGGUUUGCUGUUAAAAUCUAUGCGAUAAAAACAAGAAUCGAACCUAAGAGCUUUGGAUUGGCUUCCGAGGGUUUCUCAGUCAGUUUUGACCAAAUCAAGGAAGUCACACCCAAUGGAUGCCUCGUUAACCAAGACAUAGAAGAACUUCUCUUCCCAAAAACUAUUCUUGCUGGGAAAGCCUCGGAUGAACCUCCGAUUUUUCUAGUUAAAGAUAUAGUAUCAUGUCAUGUCUCUGCUUCGGCGAAUCUCGAGAAGCUUCAGCAAGUGAUUGACGUCCACCUACACAUCACAUUCAUAACUCCAAACAAAAAUCCCGAUCAGGUGACGGAGUCCCCGGGGCAUAAAUUAUCCAAUAGAGAGACUCAGCUCCCAAAGAAACCGCAGAAUCGGCACAGAGAUCGGGAACCAGAUAUAGCAUAGUUCAAAGAAACUCUCGUACAAGAUAAAAUGGUUCGAAGGGGUUUAUUCACCCGAGCAGACGGCACAGAAACUAAGAACUCUACCGUCUCAGAAAUUCCAAAGAUAUGCCUCAACACCUGCAAUGUCUCAGGCUUCGAAAGGGUCGAGCCGGGAGGGUCCGGUUCUUUUCCAAUUAUAUCGUUUUCUUGAAGGUCCCGCCUCGAGAUUAGACAACAUACACUCCAAAUCUCGCCUCGCUUCAAACGGAUAAAAAUUCCAAUCUUCUUCUUUGGGUUUGACUUCGGCGGACUCAUCAAUGUGACUCGCCACCUCGGCGACUUGAAAGGGAGAAGAAUCCUCGAAAGGACUUUAAAGCACCGAGCCGAUCGCUUCGGUCUCUAUAUGAGACGAAGAAAUUUCACUUUCGCCUCGGAGGCUGUCUGAACCAGCCGAACAGCUCGCGUUGUCAUCUCCUUCACUUUCAGCUAAAUUAUAAAGCGAAUUGGCUGAAUGAGUCGUAUCAGAAGACAUGGCGAACGUUGAAGAAUGUAGAAACAAAUCGAAACAUCUGAAGAAGCGGAAGAGAAGAUCUAUUCCAAAUCUGGGUUGAGAACUUACAAAAAUCUUCAAAGAUUGAUAAAAAAUUCCUAAAAAUGAAUCAAAAUCUUUGAAGAUGGAUCAGAAAACUCAAAGGCUCACUGGAACAUCUUGAAUGACAUAGUUGUUGGACGAAGGAACCCUAGCCGGAGCAAAAUAAAAACACUAAAAAAAAAAGAGAGAGAAAAGAACUUUACCUAAGGUAAAAUUUGUGGGAAAGUAAAUUGUGAGGGGUAAAGGCAACAGUUUGACUAUAUAUAAAAGUUUGAAAGCGCGUGAGGUCUGUGUAAACGCGUGGGAUUCACCUAUACUUUGGGAAAUAGCAAAAAUUUAUGGGUCCUAGGGUAAUAAAGGCCAUGCGCGUGGAAUCUGAAUCGACAAAUUUCAUGAUCCUAGCAAGAUACUUGCCUUCAUCAAGACGAGCCGUAAUCAUAACCGAAGUGAAAAAAUUGCUCUUAUUAAGAUGCCUCGUCGAGUGUCUGCAUCGGAAAAACUCUCUCUUGCGAAACGCCUCGGCAAACUUUAUCUUGUGAAACGACUCAGGAAACUCUCUCUUGUGAAACGCUUUUGCAAAAUUUCUCCUCGCAAAACGCCUCGGCAAACAUCUGCCUCCGGAAACUUUCUCUUUCGCAAAAUACUUCGGCGAGCAUUUGCCUCGAUAAAAUCUUCCCCUAGAAAUUGACUCAGCAAAGAUUUGCCUUGACGACAUCAUAACUUUUCUUGAAAACGCCUUGGCAAGAAUUCAUCCCUAUAUCAUUCUCUUGGAGACUCCACUCCCAACACUUUGCUUCAAAACUGCAUUUCGACGCCGCAUGCCUCAGCUCGGCAAAUUCUCAGACAUUCGGCCACCAGGUUCAUAUUAGCCUGCCGAACUAACAACUUAACUUAGUUAUUCUUGUGACUCAGAAUAUACCGUCCACGCGAUCCCAUACCUUGUCUACCGUCCAGAUUCCUCGAAUUAUCCCAAACAUCUGCUCAUUGCUUAGUCACUCAACCAAGCAUCCCCACAUAACUAAGUAAUGACGAGAUAACCAGAACUCUCAUCAUGAUCCAAACUUGAUCAACACGCACUAGCAGAUUCGUAAAGAUUCUCACACAUCUCUUUGGUACCAAGACACUCAACCAACCAAUCCAACUUGUAUAAGUAAACGUAGAGAAAGGCACCAAGCCUCGAGCCAUCGCUCCAGAUCCACCAUCAGAUUCUACGUAUCAGCUUACGUCUUACCCAAACUGUAACUGCUUGACAGUUACUCAGAUUCCCCCUGAAUUCCCCACAGACAGAGUCAUAGAUUCCUUGUGAAUCCCCACAGACACCACACAAAUUCACCAUGAUUCUUUGCAGAUAAACAACACAUAUACUCCGCGAAUCAUCGCGAACAGACUACAUCAAAACUGCCGUAAAUCUUCUCACAUUCCCGCACAAACCCAGACACCUCUCGCGCAUCCCUCGCGCACCACUCGCACACCACUAGCGCAUCACUUGUAUCUCACUUAUACAUCGCUCGCACGAUGCUCCUGAAUGCAUGUGCAUCGCUCGCACUUUAAUUGGGCGUUACUCGCACUUCUCACCGUGUAACACUCCAUGUAAUGAUCUAAUCGCACAGACUCGGUUCUCCGAUCACAAAAACUCGGUAGCAGAAUUUACAGAAAUACUCGCAUAAAACAUACGUCAUGGCUCCACACAGUUGCCUCCAAAGAUUCACAGACAUUCACCAUUGAUCGUACCAUGAUCUCGGCCAGCACCAGAAUCACAUUCCUAGUCUUCCAGACACUUUUACUGUAGAUCAUAAUCUCGAUCAACGUACAAGGUCUUGCGUAGACUCGCCGACGAAUCCGGAAAUGCUCUCCUAUAACCACACAGAUCCGCGUAACCGCACACACCAUCUGUCCGAACAGACUACCGUCAGUGCACACAUUCACUGGCGAAGCCACGACGCUGAUUUUAGAUCUCUCCUAUUAUUUCUCCCUAUGUUUCUUUUUUCCGCUAUAAUACCAGAGAUAACCACAUUAUCUUUUUCCUUUGGUGUUAUUACAGAUCCACACGUUGAAACCAUCUAAAAACUGUCCUGCGCACAUACUUUAGCGCUUGCACGCGUAUAGAAACCGAUCCACACACCUAGAAACUGUCUGCGCAAUUUUCCCACGAAGGCAAUAGUCGUGCCCAUGCAUUUCAUCGUGUGCCUCAAAACAGAUAACCGUUCCCUCGCGUUUUCCUGCACGUGGACUGCCCUGCUCCUAACAGCAGCUCACCAACCUGUCCGAAUCCGACAAGUCCGAAAAUUAUGGACUGUCCGAAUAACCAUCAAACCAGUUCCAAAAAUCACGGACGAGCUAACAUAAGCUCAAAAAUCACCUGGACUUUAUCUUUCGUUUGCCUUGAAACAUUUCCAUCCCAUCAGCUACGAAAUACAAAACAUGGGUGUUACAAUUUUUCUCCACUUAGAAUGAAUUUGUCCUUGAAUUCAACGGUUGUUGGAACCUUUUUCUACCCAACUUCACGAAGUAUCGGAACCAAUUCCACAAACUUCACCAUAUAACUCAGUAACUUUAUACUUCAGAUUUAUUCAACUCACUCUCUGUCUCACAGGACCAGAAUAUUUUUCCCUAAUAAUUAAGCGUAGUAGUCCUUAAUUCCAAGGAAUCUCUUGGAUAUCGAACAAUCAUUGGCAAGUACACCUCACUUCCAAUGGCCUGUCUCGAAUUACCUCAAUUCUCGGCAACUAAACUCACUACCUCAAUUGAGUUACGCCCACCAUUUCCCGAUCACAGUCUCUCGCGUAAUUGAUCUCGAUCUUGCCCUUGCCGCUCUUGGAUUCAUUACCUAUACCUUAUGUUUGAUCACAGACUCAUUUCCCGACCAUCUCCUGGAUUUUCAAGUCCCACCGGACAUUUGUGCCUCUUAUAUUUUUUCCGGGUAACACGUAAACCCUUACAAACAUUCACGGAUCUCUCUGAGCCUCCACGACUUUACUGAAUUACCUUUGGUCAUCCCCAACCCUUAUAAGCAUUUUUGAAUCACUCAUGAUCCCUGCAAACAUUCAUAGAUCAAUUCUGAUCCUUCACAGAAACUUCACGGAUCUUUCCUGAUCCUCCUAAAAACAUUAUGGAUUCUCACGAUCUUUACAGAUUUUUCAGAUCCUCAGAGAUUCGGCUGAGGACACACUUGGUCCCCAUUGAAUUCUUCACAAUACACAUUGGUGGACACACUACUUCCCACAGAUGUUUCCACAGACUUCCCUUGGUGAACACUCGGGUUCCCAUAGACAUUUUCAUGGACACUCCCACACAGACACUCUUUGGUGAUACUCCCUAGUAAACUUAGUCCUCACAACGCAACUCUCAACGCAUUGCGUUAGUUUACAUGGACAGUUCAUCUUGGCCAAACAAGAUCGUCCUAGCAAACUCCAAGAGUUCCCAAAGAUGCGAUCACAAAACACUCGUCAAGCAUGAUUACCCAUAGUUACCAAGCAGCUCGUAACUAGACAAACCAUAGCGAGAACCCUGACCCCCAAGCGCAUGUCCAAGCCCGACACUCAAGUAAAACGAAUCAACCACCAAGACUAAGCCUGAUGUGAUCAUGGAAGCAACAAGAAAUAUCCACAUAAUGUGUGGCUUCUUUGUAUAAGAUCCAUUAAGACUUCAAGCCCAUGAAAAAUUUCGACCAGGCCUUUUUACAGGAGGAGUGAAGUGGAUCUUAACUUGAUUAAAAGCCUAAAAUUAAAAGAGAAGACGUAGGUCCAGCAAGGAUAAACCUCAACCCAAAGGAAUAGAAAAAGUCACAGCUAAACAAUUUAUUGUUUCUGCUAGUAGGAGAUGUUUAAUGCUACUAGUUGUUUGCUGUUGGUUUCUUUUCAUUUCUUCUUAUUUAUAACCCUUGUAAGCCCAGCAAGAAAAAAGUCAAUCAACCCUUUAUUAUCUUCUUCUUCUUUGAGCAUGAUUCAUUCAAACUUUUUGUUGGUGUGUAAUGUCCAGCAAGCAACUCGAUUUCUUUGGUGUGUAAUAUAUAGAGGAUCGACGGUGAAUCAGAAGCCAUUUUGCAACUUCUGUGUGACCUUUCAACCCCCAUCCUUUGUUCAGUGAGCUUCACAGCCAUUAAGGCAAAGCUGAUCCUUUUUUUACUAGCCUUACUAAGUGUCGAUGUUUGGGAAGACCUCCUCAAGAACCAAUCUGGUGGAAACCAAGGAGUCGCAAAGGCAAGUGAAUGACCUUAUGGAGAAAGGGCAUAUCAGAGGGAGCAUGAGCCCUUGUGUCCUUUUCGUGUUGUUGGUACUUAAGAAAGACAGUAGCUGGCGAAUGUACAUUGAUUGUAGAGGAAUCAACAAUAUCACAGUUAUGUACCGACAUCCCAUUCCUAGAUUACAUGAUAUGCUUAAUGAAUUGCAUGAUUCUAGCAUCUUUCCUAAAAUUGAUCUUAAGAGUGGAUAUCAUCAGAUUACAAUGAAAGUAAGGGAUGAGUGGAAAACAACAUUUAAGACGAAGCAUAGUCUUUACAAGUGUUAGUUAAGCCAUUUGUACUAACAAAUGCACAUAGUACGUUCAUGAGGUUAAUGAAACAUGUACUUAGAGAUUUUAUAGUUGUUUUGUAGUAGUCUACUUUGAUGACAUUCUGAUUUAUAUCAAGAACCUAGAAAAGCAUGUUAGUCACUUGAAAUAUGUUCUAGAUGUGCUUAGGAAAGAAAAGCUAUUUGCUAAUUUUUAAAAUGCACGUUUUGUACAAACAAUUUUGUCUUCCUAGGUUUUUUGUAAGUGCGAAUGGAAUCAAGGUCGACAAAGAAAAGGUCAAGGCUAUUAAAGAUUGGCCGAGUCCCAAACAGUUUGGUGAGGUGAGGAGCUUCCACGGCCUAGUCGGGUUUUAUAGACACUUUGUUAAAGAUUUUAGUACCCUGGUUGCACCUCUAACUGAAGUUGUCAAGAAAGACAUGAGAUUCGAUUAGGGAGAAGGACAAGAAGAGGUGUUUCAAACCUUGAAAAAUAAGCUAAUCAACGCACCUCUAUCAGUCUUACCUGAUUUUUUGAAAACCUUUGAAAUAGAGUGUGAUGCAUCUGCUAUAGGAAUUGGAUCUGUUUUGAUGAAGGAUAAUAAGCCCAUUGCAUACUUUAAUGAAAAACGCGGAGGAGCUACUCUAAACUACCUAAUGUAUGACAAGGAGCUGUAUGCUUUAGUCCGGGCUUUGCAACAUGGCAACAUUACUUAUGGUUUAAGGAGUUUUUCAUUCAUACUGAUCAUGAGUCUCUCAAGCAUCUAAAAGGACAACAAAAUCUCAUCAAAAAACAUGCCAGGUGGGUCAAAUUCACUGAGACAUUUCCCAAUGUCAUCAAGUAUAAACAAGGUAAGGAAAAUGUAGUUGUUGAUGCAUUUUCUUAUAGGUAGGCCUUGCUCUCUAUUCUUGAUGCUAAGUUUUCGGUUUUGAACAGCGUAAACAAAUAUAUGUAUCUGAUUCUGACUUUAAAGAUGUAUAUUAAUUUUAUGAAAAGUUUGCUAAGGAUAAUAAUAUGGAUCUCUCUUUUAUUACAAUCGCUUGUGCAUGCCUUAUCGUUCUAAUCGAAACUUGCUUGUUAGAGAAGCUCAAAGGGGUGAACUAAUGAGACACCUUGGAAUUAUUAAGACCCUUAAAGUAAUUCAAGAUCACUUCCUGGCCACAGAUGAAGAGGCACAUGGAGAGGAUAUGUCAAAGAUGUGCUACAUGCAAACAUGCAAAGUCUAAAGUUCAACCUCACAGUUUGUAUACUCUAUUACCUAUUCCUAAUCAUCCUUGAACUGAGAUCUCUAUUGAUUUUGUUCUUGGACUAGGAUAAGUAAGGAUUCUAUCUUCGUAGUGGUAUAUAGAUUUUCUAAAAUGGCACAUUUCAUACCAUGUAACAAAACCGAUGAUGCAUCACAUGUAGCUAAUCUGUUCUUCAAGGAGAUUGUCUAUUUGCAUGGCAUGCAAAGGACCAUUGUGACUGAUAGAGAUACAAAGUUUUUAAGUUUCUUUUGGAAAGCAUUGUGGUCUAACCAAGGAACUAAGAUUUUUAUUUUCUACUACAUGUCAUCUGCAUAAUGAUGGGCAAACAGAAGUGGUUUAAGGAACCUUGUCUACAUUGUAGCGUGCAUUAAUUGAGAAGAACCUUAAUUCUUGAGAAGAUUGCUUACCUCAUGUAGAAUUUGCAUAUAACAAUUUUGUUCACUCUGCUUCGAAGUUUUCUCCAAUACAGAUUAUUUAUGGUUUUAACCUUUCAUCUUCUUUGGAUCUAGCCCCUUGGCCUCUAAGUGAAAAGGUAAAUUUAGAUGGGUAAAAUAAGGCUGAGCUUGUUGAACAGAUCCAUGAGAAGGCUAAAAAAAACAAAGAAGAGAAGAUGAAGCAAUAUGUUAGACAAGCCAACAAGGGCCGCCGCAAGAUGAUCUUUAAGGUUGGAGAUCUCGUGUGGGUACGUUUGAGAAAAGAUAGGUUCCCAGUAGAACGAAUCUCUAAACACAUGCCUAGAAUUGAUGGUCCUUUCGAAGUCAUAAAAAUAAUCAGCGUUGAUGUACAAGGUAAAUAUAACAUGAGUCCGAGUUUUAAUGUUGCUGAUUUAGUUCUAUUUCUUGCAAAUGAUCCAGAUUCAACACAUGGUAUUUUCAAAUAUAUGGUAAGUAGUUGAUAUCUCAACAGAGCAAUGGAAAGACAAGAUCUCUUGAUGUAUUGGAUAUGGACGACCACAAGAGCAUUCCUCAAGAUCUAAAACCUCAACAAAUGCCAUAACUUCAAGCAUUGGCUUUAAGUCCAGCCCAAGCUCCAAAGAAUAAGCCAACCAUUGCAAAUUUUGACACUCCUUGUUGUCGUGGAAUGAGAUAUGGUUAGAUUGUUUCAAAACUCUAAGUUCUUGUGGUUAGGAAUGGAGAAUCCAUAUGACCAUUUGGACUCUUUUGAGAGGUUGUGUGACACAUUUAGGAUUGGAGGAGGGCCCCAAGAUAGUAUCAAGCUCAUCUUGUUCCCAUUUUCACUUGGAGAAAAUACAUGCGCAUGGGAGAUAUCACUACCAUCUCACUUAGUCAAGUCGUGGGAUAAUUGCAAGAGGAUGUUUCUUUUAAAGUUCUAUCCCAUACAAUGAACGGUCCAAACUAGUAGAAACAUCUUGAGCUUCAAAACAAGGCAUCUAUGUGACCUUUCAUGAGGCAUGGGACAGACUUAAAGGAUAUACUAGCGAUUGUCCUCAUCAUGGGUUCAACAAGAAGCUAUCCUUAGUAUAUUGUAUUGGGGAGUUGAUAGAGAGCAUAAAUGGACAUUGGAUGUAGCUAGCAAUGGGCGUUUUGCAAAUCUCACGAUAGCACAAGGACAACUACAUGUUGAGAAUUUGGCCAAGAGUAAUAAAAGAUACAAGGAUCAUGAUAUUGAAGCUUGUCAAGAUGAUCAAGGUGAGGUGGAGCUUUGUUUUCAGCAAGAGUUUGUUCCACAAGGCCAAGUAGGUUCUUCAAAGCCUAAAGAGAUGGAAUUGAACAAAUUUUUCCAACAAAUAGACAAGAUGAGAUUAAUACAAGAGUAAAGAGUUCUUACAAAGAUCUCCACACAAAGCAUGAAUUCAUGUCUUCUAAGGUCAAACACUUGGAGAAACAAGGUUCUAAAGAAAGUUCCCUCACUAGUGAACCCAUACUAAAGGGCAAGGAACUAAAGGAUUAUUGUAAUGCUAACUUCUCAAGUAAGGUGCAUUUGUUUGAUGAGAAUGAGGAAGCUAUAAUAGAGGUUGAGAGACUUCUCCAUGGCACCAAAGAUGAGAUUCACCACUUUGAGAUGAAGUAUGUGGGAUCUUGUGAAAUGAAGGAAAGAGGAUCAGCCUCUUGAAGCUUGUGAAAAAAAAAGAAAGAACCUGAAGUAUAGCCUGAUCUUGAGUUCAUUGAUGGUUAGAAAUUCUUUAGUGAUGAUGAGGAUUGAUUGGAACUUCAAUAUUCUACACCAUAAAGAAAGAAGUUUCUUGCAAAGUGGUCCAAUAGAGAGGUGGAGGUCCUAAAGCUAAGAAGAAACCGAGCAAGGCCAAUAAGGAAAAAAAAUUUCUUGACCAAUCUUCCACUAUCAUUCUCAUUCCAUUAACUCAUCAAGAUGGAGUGAUUGAGUAUAAGAUUCAGUGUAGAGGAAGGUCUAAGCCAUUUGCAAAGGUCAAAGCAAUUCUCACUCAAGAACUCAAGGACAAAGGUGAAAAUGGUAUUGAGGAGCUUAUGAGCAAGGCAAUGAGGCUUGAGUUCAAGGAAAUCCAGGGAGUUCCACUACUCUCUCUCUCUCAUUAAAAGGAAGGUAUGAAAAGUCAAAAUUAGUGACUUAAAACAAAGUGUACUUGGAAGACAGUCCCAUGUCUAUCAUUGUAUAUACUUUCUCUUAUUGCUUUCUAGUUAAAUGUUAUGUUUUGGGGAGUCUUGAUCUUUUUGUUGAUUGUGUGCAAGGGGAUUUGAUGGUCUAAGAUUUAACACGUGGUAGAGGAAAACCAAGGCCGUGCACAACUGAUCUGUGGUGAUGCUAAGAUCCUUUGAUGCAUAGACAUCACUCCUCCUCUCCAUUAAACACUCAAGGUAACACUUUAAGACUUAUGUAUAGCAUUUAGUCUCAUUUUCUUUAGAAUUUUGUUUUUCCUCUUUCUCAUGCUUCUAUUACACAAGAGACUCUGUAAUUUGAGUGUGGGGGAGGGAUUUAGUGUUAUAUAACCAUGUUUCUUUGUGUUCUUAUUUUAUAUUCAACAUUUUGAGUCUCAUGCAUUCAUUCAUUAUACAGAAAAGAUAAAAAUUGGUAAUUUUUAAAGUUUUUUAUCAAAAAAAGAAGCAUACAGAUGCAUUUGCAUACUUAGGAUUGAGUAUAGAAUGCAUUUCAUAUAGGUUUUCAUCAUGCAUUGGGAAUAAUGGUUGAUUUUUCCUUGUAGAAUAUCAUUUUACGAAUUUGGUUCAGUGUCCUAGUUAUUAGUUGUUGAUGCAUCUAAUUGAGUUUCAAAUCAAGGAUGAACCCUAUUUGGAUCUUGUGUUUGACUUUUCUUGUCUUAGUUGAAUCAUGUUGUGAUUAGUUCCAAUCCUACUUAAGUGAAAACCUUUAAUUUGUCAUCUUAAUUAUCAGGUUUAUGCAUUUCAUAGUGAAUUCAUGGAUACCAUAUACAUAUUUGGGCUAUCUUCAUCUUGUUACAACUCUUUGUUAGCUCAAAUAGCCAAUUCCCAUCAUUGGAAUGGUUAACAACACCUUAAACCAAUCCUCCUUUCAAGCCACGAUUAGUGAGUCCAUGUAAGGCCUUAUUUUCAAGUAGAGUUGGCAAAACGUGUUGGGUCUAGAGCGAUAAAGGUUUUACAUGUAGGUUCUAGUCCAUCAUCAAUGGCUAGAUUAGGUUAGGCUAUGGGUUGGGAAGUUGUGGUUUAUGAGAAAAAUUGAUGGAGUGUGGUGUGAAAGAGAAAGAUGGGAUUGAAGUAGGGGAAUGAAUCCAAAAGAAAAAAAAUUUUGAGUUAGCAAGUGUUAAAAAAAGCUAUAAGUAUAAUAGCUAGUCUCUCGAGUUAACAAAAAGUAAAGAAAAGAAAAAGAAAGAGACUAGAAGAGUAAAUAAAAGAAAAGAGUUAAGUGUGUAAAGAAAAAGAACCUCUCAAAGUGUUAUGUGCAAGAAGAGCAUUCCCUUAAGGCCUUAGAGAUAAGAAAACAACAAAGGUUGGUUUUUAUCAAGGUAAAAAUGCCUUUGAGAAAGGGUAGCUUAGGAGAAGAAACUUCAUGGCUAGGUUUUUAAAGCAAAUGGGGUAUUGAGUCGAUGUAGGUCUAUCUUUGUAUGCAUCCAUUGCUUUUUACCCUUAGCAUUUUGCUAAAGUCUACUUCUUCUUGAGUGAUCCCUAGCUUGGAGCAACCAGUUACUUGUAUUGGGAUCAUCUUAGUCUCAAGACCAUGUCCCUAGCCAAAUGAAUUCAUUUGUCUUGCAUGAACAUGAUUCACUUGAAAACCUUUAUGAAUUUUAAUGGGUUGGGACUAGGCAUGCUUGUCUAGGCUAAUACUUGAGCUUGAUGCAUUUAUUGAUGGAUAUGGCUAGUUUCUUUUAAGUAGACUCACUUGUUUGCAUCCUAGAACUAGUAAAUUUGGACAUUGAACUUUGAAUUCUUUUAUUGAUAUUUAUGGAUAUGAGUUCACCUUUCAAACCUCUUUAUCACCUUGUUCUUGUUUGUUUUCUUGAUGAAAAGCAAAGGAUAAGUGUGGGGGAGUUGUGGAUAAAAUUUAUCAUGUUUUAUCAUUCAUUUUAGUAUAGUUUUAUGUCUAGUCCAUUCAUUUGAAAGCAUUUCUUAAUAUUUUAAUGUUAAUUGAGUUUAGAUAGGAAUGCAUUAGGUCCAAGUGUGUCUUUGCAUGUUUUGGAUUCAUUCUAGGUACUUUUGGAGAUUUAGAGUGCAUUUGGGCUUGAGAACACUUGAAGAAAUGGUGAAAAAAAUAUGAAGAAUCAGCCAAAACGUGCUCUCGGCAAAUUUCCUUUCCGGAAAAAAGUUUCCAUGGCGAAAACUGCAUCAGGCAUGUACCGCUCGGCCAAAAACCCUUCGCAAAAACACCAGUAUAUGAUUCUCUCGGCCAAAUCUUACACCAGCCGAUGUAUCUAAAAGUUCAUCUGAAACAGGCCCUUUUUACUAUGACUCAGCUUCGACGAUCUUCAUGGAAGUUGAAGGCCAGAGAGUCAUCUUUCCAAUUAAGUUGGUCUCAUGACGUUUGGAGCCUUAGAACGAAAGUUACAGCCGUUGCCGAACACAUAUGUCCUAUCGGUCCGAUUCCGUGCACAAUUUUAUAGUUUGUCAAUUACAUACAAAAAAAUCAAAGUCCAAUAAAUCUAUUUACUGUACCUGCUCCACAAGGUAUAUAUGUACUUUAUCAAAAGUUUUAUUUCUAAAAUUGUAUAUUAUUCAUUUUUAAGGUGAUUUAAUUUUGUUUUGUUUUUAUUUUUUUAUCAAAUAUAAACGCUCAUAUAUAUGUGGUCCUAAUCUAGUUUAUAAUAAUCCUUUGUCAUAAAAUUAAAUCUUUUAAUAAUUUCUCUAAAUAUAUAAAUAAUUGGAAAAAUGUGUUAUUUAAUCUGAUGUACAGACCUUCAAAAUUAUUUAAUCUCAUUGUUAGGAGAAACCAAUAUUGUACACUGUUAAAACUGUAGAUAUUUUGGUAAAAAUUGCAGUAAACCCGAGACAAAGAGGCACGAACAAAGGAGUGAAAAAAAGGAGGGGACAUGUGAUGCGAUAUAGCGAUGGGUCAUCGAGGGAAUCUUGUAUUCUUAUGAUAAUUGCCAACCAUGCUUAUUUUGGGUCUUCUCUUCUUAUUGCAGAAGUAGCCCCCAUGUUCACGUGAUCCCUUCUUCCCAUUCUUGCUCUAUAUAUUCAUAUACCCUUUCUUAUAUUUCCUCCACGUACACUUCUCAACAUGGACUCAUCCAAACUCUCAUUGCUCUCUCUCUGUCUCCUCAUUUGCAUUAUCUGUUCUCCCCAACACUCACUCUCAUGCGGUUCCUGCAACCACCAGAAGGGCGGAUUACCCUCAAUUAAACCCCCUGUCACCAUUCCCAAGCUUCCUGUUCCUCCGGUUACUGUUCCUAAGGUACCCGUUCCUCCAGUAACUGUCCCUAAUCUACCCGUUCCUCCUGUAACUGUUCCAAAGCUACCUAUUCCUCCGGUGACCGUACCUAAACUUCCAGUUACCGUACCUAAACUCCCAGUUCCUCCGGUGACAGUCCCUAAGCUACCCAUUCCGCCAGUGGCCAUUCCAAAGGUACCCGUUCCUCCAGUUACUGUCCCAAAGGUACCUGUUCCUCCUGUGACUGUCCCUGAGCUUCCACUUCCUCCAGUGGGCGGGCUACCCACAUUGCCACUACCACCAUUACCAGGGACUAUCCCACCAGCCACAGGAGGGAAGGAUUGUCCUCCAACCCCGGGUAGCGAGAUGCCCCCAUCAGGCAGUGGGAAGGCCACAUGUCCAAUAGACACGCUUAAGUUGGGGGCGUGUGUGGACUUGU